GUUGGACAUUCAUGUUAAACUAAUAGUAAGUGAGACAACAGACGAUGAACAGUUUGGGAAAUUACUGGAGAAAGUUGCAGUCUACCACGACCACUAGCUUGACCUAUGCAUGGGAGCAACUCAUGAAGUCUGUUAUUUGUGUGUCUAGAAAUCGGUCAUUGCAUUUAUCGAU